GCAGUCGAACGGUAACAGGCCGCAAGGUGCUGACGAGUGGCGAACCUGUGAGUAAUGCAUCGGAACGUGCCCAGUCGUGGGGGAUAACGCAGCGAAAGCUGCGCUAAUACCGCAUACGAUCUAUGGAUGAAAGCGGGGGACCGUAAGGCCUCGCGCGAUUGGAGCGGCCGAUGUCAGAUUAGGUAGUUGGUGGGGUAAAGGCUCACCAAGCCAACGAUCUGUAGCUGGUCUGAGAGGACGACCAGCCACACUGGGACUGAGACACGGCCCAGACUCCUACGGGAGGCAGCAGUGGGGAAUUUUGGACAAUGGGGGCAACCCUGAUCCAGCAAUGCCGCGUGAGUGAAGAAGGCCUUCGGGUUGUAAAGCUCUUUCGGCCGGGACGAAAUCGCUCUGGUGAAUAUCCAGGGUGGAUGACGGUACCGGAAUAAGAAGCACCGGCUAACUACGUGCCAGCAGCCGCGGUAAUACGUAGGGUGCGAGCGUUAAUCGGAAUUACUGGGCGUAAAGCGUGCGCAGGCGGUUUUGUAAGUCAGACGUGAAAGCCCCGGGCUUAACCUGGGAAUUGC
rnacentral:rRNA from 1 species